rnacentral:rRNA from 1 species
CCUUAUUGCUAUGCCACCCUGAACGUGCCUGAUCUCAUCUGAUCUCGGAAGCUAAGCAAGGUCGGACCUGGUUAGUACUUGGAUGGGAGACCACCUGGGAAGACCAGGUUCUGUAGGCA